rnacentral:piRNA from 1 species
UUUACUGCUUGAAGUCCAUUUC